rnacentral:rRNA from 1 species
CGUAGGCGCGAGCGUUGUCCGGAAUUAUUGGGCGUAAAGAGCUUGUAGGCGGUUUGUCGCGUCUGCUGUGAAAGCCCGGGGCUUAACCCCGGGUUGGUCAGUGGGUACGGGCGAGACUAGAGUGCAGUAGGGGAGGACUGGAAUUCCUGGUGUAGCGGUGAAAUGCGCAGAUAUCAGGAGGAACACCAAUGGCGAAGGCAGGUCUCUGGGCUGUAACUGACGCUGAGAAGCGAAAGCAUGGGGAGCAAACAGGAUU